CUGCAGAAUACCUGAAAUAGCUUUUGCAACAUUUGAGAACAUGGAAUAUGGAGAAGAUUACAUGAAGCCUGAUACAGAGACAUACAAUUAGGUUAUUCAAGCUUAUACUAGAGCUGAAUCUUAUGACAGAGUACAAGAUGUUGCUGAGUUACUUGGCAUGAUGGUUGAGGAUCACAAACGUAUACAGCCAAAUGCGAAGACCCAUGCG